rnacentral:tRNA from 1 species
GGGGUGGGACUCAGUUGGUAGAGCGCUUGCCUAGCAUGCAUGAAGCCCUGGAGCCCUGGGUUCCAGCCCAGUGCCACG